rnacentral:rRNA from 1 species
CCCUUAGAUGUUCUGGGCCGCACACGCGCUACACUGAAGGAGGCAGCGUGUACUCCUGGAUCGAAAGAUUUGGGUAACCCGCGAAUCUCCUUCGUGCUAGGGAUUGAGGUUUGCAAUUAUCCUUCAUGAUCGAGGAAUUCCCAGUAAGUGCAAGUCAUAAGCUUGCGCUGACUACGUCCCUGCCCUUUGUACACACCGCCCGUCGCUACUACCGAUUGAAUGAUUUAGUGAGGACUUCGGACUGGGACCGAUGCGGCUUUCGGGCUGCGUCGGUAUUCUGGAAAGAUGUCCAAACUGUAUCAUUUAGAGGAAGUAAAAGUCGUAACA